UACGUAGGCAGCAAGCGUUGUUCGGAUUUACUGGGCGUAAAGGGUGCGUAGGCGGCUUUUUAAGUUUGGUGUGAAAUCUCCCGGCUCAACUGGGAGGGUGCGCCGAAUACUGAGAAGCUAGAGUGUGGGAGAGGAAAGUGGAAUUCCUGGUGUAGCGGUGAAAUGCGUAGAUAUCAGGAGGAACACCGGUGGUGUAAACGGCUUUCUGGACCAUAACUGACGCUGAGGCACGAAAGCGUGGGUAGCAAACAGG
rnacentral:rRNA from 1 species